rnacentral:rRNA from 1 species
GACGGAGGGGGCAAGCGUUGUCCGGACUCACUGGGCGUAAAGGGUGCGCAGGCGGUUCUGUGCGUCGGCGCUGAAAGCGCCCGGCUUAACCGGGUGAGGCGCGCCGAUACGAUGGAACUUGAGGCUCGGAGAGGGUGGUGGAACUCCUGGUGUAGUGGUGAAAUGCGUAGAGAUCAGGAAGAACACCCGUGGCGCAAGCGACCACCUGGCCGAGACCCUGA